rnacentral:rRNA from 1 species
AUGGCUCGUGCCGUCUCUCGCCUCCUCCCCUUUCUCCUAUGGCGGCCUCCCCGACCUCUCCUCCUCCGCCGCCGCCCACUAAACCCUAGCCCCCAACCCCUGACCACGCGCGCCAAAGCCCUCGCCUCCUUCAGCUCCCUCGUGCUGCCCGGCGACGAGCGCUCGCCUCCGUCUUCUCCCUCGCGCCGCGCGCCGCCGAGCUAUGGGGGCGGCGGAUCUCCGGGGACGAUCGCCGCCGUCGUCACCGCCCUCGGCGGGGGCCCCGCGGCCGUCGGCAUUGUCCGCCUGUCCGGCGCCGACGCCGUCGCCGUCGUCGCCCGCGUGUUCCGGCCGGCCAGGAAGGACCCGGCGCCCUGGAAUCCCCGAAGCCACUUCGUGGAGUACGGGGUCGCGCUGGACGGAGAUGGGAGCGUCAUCGAUGAGGUGCUGGUGGUGCCCAUGCUGGCUCCGAGGUCCUACACCCGAGAGGAUGUGGUGGAGCUCCAGUGCCAUGGGAAUGACCUUUGCUUGCGUCGUGUGCUGAGGGCCUGCUUGGAGGCUGGUGCCAGGCUCGCCGACCCUGGUGAAUUCACUCUUCGCGCAUUCCUAAAUGGGAGGUUGGACUUGGCUCAAGCGGAGAACGUCUCGAGGCUUAUUUCAGCCAAGUCUGUAGCUGCAGCAGAUUCUGCCUUGGCUGGCAUCCAGGCAUGCUUUUCUACUCUAGUGAAAUCUUUGAGAUCAAGGUGCAUAGAAUUGAUCACUGAAAUUGAGGCUCGUUUAGAUUUUGAAGAUGAGAUGCCUCCAUUGGACCCUAUGAUGCUGCUCAGCAAAAUUAACAGCAUGAGGCAAGAGGUUCAGGAUGCUCUGGAUACUGCAAAGUAUGAUAAGCUGUUGCUGUCUGGUCUACAGAUAGCAAUAAUUGGCCGCCCAAAUGUUGGAAAGUCAAGCCUCCUGAAUGCAUGGAGUAAGAGUGAAAGAGCUAUUGUUACCGAAAUAGCUGGAACUACAAGGGACGUAGUUGAAGCAAAUGUCUCAAUUCAUGGAAUCCCUGUUACCCUUCUAGACACGGCUGGUAUAAGAGAAACUGAUGACAUUGUGGAAAAAAUUGGUGUAGAACGAUCAGAGACUGCUGCACUGGGAGCUGAUAUGGUUAUUAUGACAAUAAGUGCAGUUGAUGGGUGGACUGAAGAUGACACUAAACUUAUCAAACGUGUCAUGAUUGAUAAGAAAAGCUCAGGUUCUGAAGUGCCAAUGGUUCUGGUUAUCAACAAGGUAGACUGCACACCAUUUGUUUCAGGAGAAGAGUUUGAGAAAUUCAGUGGAAUUUUCAGAAAACAUGUGCACACGUGUGCAGUCACUGGUAAAGGCAUUUCUGAGUUGGAGAGGGCUGUAAUAGAGGUUAGAGGUCUUGAGUCCAUACCUUCCGGGGGACGGCGGUGGACUGUAAACCAGAGACAAUUGGAACAGCUCAUGAGGACCCAAGAAGCUUUCACAAGACUAGAGUCGUCGAUCAAUGAGCAGCUACCCUUAGAUUUUUGGACUAUAGACUUGAGGGAAGCUGCAUUGGCUCUGGCAACAAUCAGCGGAGAGGACAUAUCUGAAGAAGUUCUGAGCAGCAUAUUCAGCAAAUUCUGCAUUGGAAAAUGA